GAGUUUGAUCCUGGCUCAGGAUGAACGCUAGCGGCAGGCUUAAUACAUGCAAGUCGAACGGUAACAGUCCCGGCAACGGGAGCUGACGAGUGGCGCACGGGUGCGUAACACGUAUGCAACCUACCCUGUACUGGAGCAUAACCCUGAGAAAUCGGGGCUAAUACUCCAUGGUAUUAUGAGAAGGCAUCUUUUUAUAAUUAGAGAUUCAUUGGUACGGGAUGGGCAUGCGCCCCAUUAGUUAGUUGGUGAGGUAACGGCUCACCAAGGCGAUGAUGGGUAGGGGUUCUGAGAGGAUUAUCCCCCACACUGGUACUGAGACACGGACCAGACUCCUACGGGAGGCAGCAGUAAGGAAUAUUGGGCAAUGGGCGAGAGCCUGACCCAGCCAUGCCGCGUGCAGGAAGACGGCCUUAUGGGUUGUAAACUGCUUUUACGUGGGACUAACCGCCGGUACGUGUACCGGUCUGCAGGUACCACGAGAAUAAGCAUCGGCUAACUCCGUGCCAGCAGCCGCGGUAAUACGGAGGAUGCGAGCGUUAUCCGGAUUUAUUGGGUUUAAAGGGUGCGUAGGCUGAUAUUUAAGUCAGUGGUGAAAUAUUCCGGCUCAACCGGGAGGCUGCCAUUGAUACUGGAUAUCUGGAGUGUAAGCGAAGUGGGCGGAAUGUGGAGUGUAGCGGUGAAAUGCAUAGAUAUUCCACAG
rnacentral:rRNA from 1 species